rnacentral:rRNA from 1 species
CCCCCCCGGUCCCUCUCUCUCUCUCUCAUCGGUGCGUGGUUCUCACGGUGGUUGUCGUCGGCGAACGCGCUCCCCUUGAGCCGUGGUCAGGAGACCAGGUGCAUCCUCACCCUCUCACGGCUCCUGGGAUCGAAGGGACGGCCGGAGCGCUCGUCCCCUUCUACUCCGACGGCCAAGCCACCGGGAUCCCGCGUCAAGUUCUACUCCGGCGGCCGGAUCACCUCGGGUUUGUGGAACACCGGAUCUGUCCAGCUCGAGGUCCUUGUCCAUGGAUCUUGCCAGGAAAAACGAUUUUCUCCAUUGUUUCUGUCGGUGAGGCUAGAUCACACGUUAUGUGCUUAUGCUUUUCUCCUAGCUGGUGUUCAUCUGUUCUAGAUUUGCAUGUUUUUUAUGAUUUUUAUUGUGUUCCUUCUAUUCCUUUGGUACGGCUGAUUUGGCUGUAUGGUUCGAUCGAGAUUUAUAUGAUUUACAGUUCGGGAGAACUAUGUUUGUUCCAUUCUUGUGUCAAUUUGUUUCCAAACCAUGUGCAUCUCAUUUUGCAGGGAGAGGAAAUCCUCUCUUUGACUUGCUCUAUGUAGUUGCUGGCAAUGAUUUUCAGAUUUGGCGCUUGGUAGCUAAAAUACAGGGUAUAAUUUUGGUGUGGAUAUGUUGAUUUCAGUAGGGAACAUUUUCUGAGGGUGUUCAAGUAUAAUUGUUGGAAGUGUCACUGGAUUAUAGUACUGUCGCUGGAUUUUUGCUUGGAUUUAGUUGUUGGAAUAAUGCACGCCCAUGGAUAAAUUAGUGUGUUGUGGAUUAUAUUAAAUUCAGUAGGGAUUCCCUGGUCUGAGAGGGUGUUUGGAUCACUAGAGACUAGAGACUAGUGGUAGUCACCUUUAGUCAGUAAACCUCCAAACACCCCUGACUAGUGGGUGACUAAAACUAGUUUAGUCCCUAGUCACCCCACCCCCAACUUUUACUGACUAGAGACUAGUAGUAGUCACCUUUAGUCAGUAAACCUCCAAACACCCCUAACUUUUACUGACUAAAGUCCCCCUCUCUCUCCUCUAAUUGGUGUUGCACAAGGAACAUUUAAUACUGAGACAUUUAAUGCUGACUAGUAGUAGUCACCUUCCAAACAGGGCCUGACUAAAAACUUCUAGUCUGACUACUACUAGUCACAUGACUAGAGAGUAUCCAAACACCCUCUGAGGUGUUGUAGUACUAGAUGUUGGCUUUGUCACCCCCAACGAGAUGAUAUUAUUGAUUGGAUUCAUUGCAGUCUGAACAGAGUUUUAGCUAAAUAGAGAGCUAGUGCACAAAGCAUGCAUAGUUUUGUUAUCUGUGGCUGGAUUUAGUUGUCGGGUUAGUUGCUCCUGGACUAUUUUAGUGUUGUGGAUUUGUCGAUGUGCAUAUGCUGAAUCUAGUAGGCGAAUCCUAGGGAUGAGUCUGGGUUGUUUAUUUUGUUUGGCGGUAUUUUUGUGGGAUUUUCACCACUCAGCAGCAUGAUUAUUUGUGAACUUGUAAGCAAUUGGUAUGGUAGUUAUCAACCCCAUAGAUCGAAAUCUGUUUUGCGGUUUAUCAAUUUGAUUAGUUAAGUCUACAUAGAGUUUUUGUUCAUUUUUCUGUCCGUCAUCUUAUUAACUGAAUAAUGAUGUGCGGUUCUCUACAUGAAGCUUACCAGAUCUAAAUGGAGCAUUCUGUUUAUAUUUAUGAACACAUCCUGAUGCAUCAACCAUCAUUUCUUUUGAUUGUUAUUUACCUGCCUGAAUGCAUGGGCUAUUAGGUGUGAUUUGCAUCAGUGCAUAAAUUGUUGAUAGCAGCCUCCAAAUUCAGAAUGAACACUGUAAUUUGAUCCAUAAAAUUCAACCAGGUUAGGAUAUUUAGAGCACCAGAGGGGAUUUAGAUGAAUCCUAAUAGACGAGCUGCCCAGCAUGUGUAGAGUUGUGAGAUGGUCCAGUUGUCAACCCAACUAUCAGCACAUCAUUUGAUCCACUAGAUGAGGUUUAUGAGUUGUAUGAUUUGUACUCCAUGGAAUGUGAUUUUUCGCACUUGUUUCACCGAGAGCUGAUUUAAUGUUCAGAGAAAGAAAUGGUUGCAAGAGAUUGUCUGUUCUGGGGUAUGUCUAUGUUUUAAUUUGCCAUUUCUGAUUAUAGUUCUGAAUUAAUAUUCAGAGCUACACUGUUUAAUUACAUAUUGGUAUAUACGUGGGCAUGUGUCAUCUAGCUGAAUUUGAUCCAAUGAAACU